rnacentral:tRNA from 1 species
GCCUUCGUGGUGUAAUAGUCAAGUACAAUCGUCUCAUAUUCGAGAGGUCCGUGGUUCGAGUCCCGGCGAGAACA